rnacentral:rRNA from 1 species
UACGUAGGGUGCGAGCGUUAAUCGGAAUUACUGGGCGUAAAGCGUGCGCAGGCGGGCUUUUAAGCCAGACGUGAAAUCCCCGGGCUUAACCUGGGAAUGGCGUUUGGGACUGGAAGUCUGGAGUGCGGCAGAGGAGACUGGAAUUCCUGGUGUAGCAGUGAAAUGCGUAGAUAUCAGGAGGAACACCGAUGGCGAAGGCAGGUCUCUGGGCCAUUCCUGACGCUGAGACGCGAAAGCUAGGGGAGCGAACAGG